rnacentral:rRNA from 1 species
ACCACGGCAGGGUUCGUGACUGGGGUGAAGUCGUAACAAGGUAGCCGUAUCGGAAGGUGCGGCUGGAUCACCUCCUUUCUAGA